UACGUAGGGUGCAAGCGUUGUCCGGAAUUUAUUGGGCGUAAAGAGCUCGUAGGCGGUUUGUCGCGUCUGCUGUGAAAACCCGAGGCUCAACCUCGGGCCUGCAGUGGGUACGGGCAGACUAGAGUGCGGUAGGGGAGAUUGGAAUUCCUGGUGUAGCGGUGGAAUGCGCAGAUAUCAGGAGGAACACCAAUGGGCGAAGGCAGAUCUCUGGGCCGUAACUGACGCUGAGGAGCGAAAGCAUGGGGAGCGAACAGG
rnacentral:rRNA from 1 species